rfam:Medicago truncatula strain A17 chromosome 3, whole genome shotgun sequence.
AAACAGCCCAUUAUAUAUUGGAUCUUUGGCAGUUUUGGCCCCCAAUGCCACUUUUGACUUAGUCUUCGCUGACGUGGCACCUCACAAUGGUCGACACGUGGCACCUCACUUAAGGGAUAUGGGUGUCACGUCAGCGAAGACUAAGUCAAAAGUGUCAUUGGGGUCAAAGCUGUCAAAUAUCUAAUACAUAGGAGGCUGUUU